ACGUAGGGGGCAAGCGUUGUUCGGAAUUACUGGGCGUAAAGGGCGCGUAGGCGGCACAGCAAGUCGGGAGUGAAAUCCCCGGGCUCAACCUGGGAACUGCAUUUGUGACUGCAUCGCUGGAGUGCGGCAGAGGGGGAUGGAAUUCCGCGUGUAGCAGUGAAAUGCGUAGAUAUGCGGAGGAACACCGAUGGCGAAGGCAAUCCCCUGGGCCUGCACUGACGCUCAUGCACGAAAGCGUGGGGAGCAAACAGGA
rnacentral:rRNA from 1 species